GAUGAACGCUGGCGGCGUGCCUAAUACAUGCAAGUCGAGCGAACAGACGAGGAGCUUGCUCCUCUGACGUUAGCGGCGGACGGGUGAGUAACACGUGGAUAACCUACCUAUAAGACUGGGAUAACUUCGGGAAACCGGAGCUAAUACCGGAUAAUAUAUUGAACCGCAUGGUUCAAUAGUGAAAGACGGUUUUGCUGUCUCUUAUAGAUGGAUCCGCGCCGCAUUAGCUAGUUGGUAAGGUAACGGCUUACCAAGGCAACGACGCGUAGCCGACCUGAGAGGGUGAUCGGCCACACUGGAACUGAGACACGGUCCAGACUCCUACGGGAGGCAGCAGUAGGGAAUCUUCCGCAAUGGGCGAAAGCCUGACGGAGCAACGCCGCGUGAGUGAUGAAGGUCUUCGGAUCGUAAAACUCUGUUAUUAGGGAAGAACAAAUGUGUAAGUAACUAUGCACGUCUUGACGGUACCUAAUCAGAAAGCCACGGCUAACUACGUG
rnacentral:rRNA from 1 species